rnacentral:tRNA from 1 species
GCCGGGGUGACCGAGCGGCCUAAGGUGCCGGCCUCGAGAGCCGGUGCCCCUUAACGGGGCGCGUGGGUUCAAAUCCCACCCCCGGCG